rfam:Sistotremastrum niveocremeum HHB9708 unplaced genomic scaffold SISNIscaffold_38, whole genome shotgun sequence.
GGGCGUUUAACUCAGUUGGUAGAGUGCUUGCUUCGCAUGAUCACGUGUUGCUUACGUAAUCUGAAUGCACGAAGUCGUGGGUUCAAUUCCCACAAUGUCCA